UGGAGGUGGAUAUCUAAAUGUCUGUUUGGAGCCAGCACUUUCAGCCGGAGGAUUUCGAUAUGGACCUGAAGUCUCAGCUGAUGAGGUUGCCAGUGCAUCGAAUGUUUUAAAGUGAUGGUAUUCCAUUGAAUUUCCCCUUCACUUCAAAGAGGAAAGGUACCCGAUCAGCCAACAUCAGCACAGCAGAAAAUAAGUCGAACUGAGCUAACUACGUUUGUUUAUCUAAACCAAAAUCUAACUAGCUAGCUCUUAUAAUACGCUGGCUAGACAUUCCAAAGCAAAUCAAUGUAAUUAGCUAGCAGCUAUCUGGCAAAGUGAUUUGUAACUUUGCAAGCUAGCAUUGGCUACAUUAGAUUACGUAGCUACAGCCCACCGGAUCGUAGCAAGCUAACUAACUAACUGACUUACUAACAGUACCGUAGAUGCUAACGUGACUAUGUGUUCGAUCCCAUCGAUAUCUGCAGCGGCAUCAACAUCAAGCUCAGCACCAGGAACUAGUGAGACUUGCAGUACAAACACAUCUUCUGUAAGAGGUCGACACAGUGGGUGGUGAAGAAAGUGUAUUAGCCCAGGACCCACCACUUCAGGGAGAGGCUUGUCCACCUGUCUGUGGAGUGCAAAACAACUUAGAAUGUUGUCUACAAGGAGCCAGAGACACAGCUCCCCAAACCCAACAUCCCUGCCAACAUCGCCACAGCGUCAGUCUGCAACACCAGCUUCCAUUACCCAACAAGAUGAGGUUCACCAGCUGAAGAACAGUCUGAAACCUGCCUGGAGCAUUCAGCCAACACAACAUCCAUAUUCCGUUAGUCUGAUGUUGUAGUAUAAUAUAGAAUGCCUAGUAUGCUCACAACUGCAUUGUGUUAUAGAUAGUGCUAGCUCUGGUACAUAAACUCAAAAAACAAAAUGUCCCUUUUUCAGGACCCUGUCUUUAAAAGAUCAUUCGUAAAAAUCCAAAGAACUUCACAGAUCUUCAUUGUAAAGGGUUUCCCAUGCUUGUUCAAUGAACCAUAAACAAUUAAUGAACGUGCACCUGUGGAAAGGUCGUUAAGACACCAACAGCUUACAGACAAUUAAGGUCACAGUUAUGAAAACGUAGCACACUGAAGAGGCAUUUCUACAGACUCUAAAAAACACCAAAAGAAAGAUGCCAAGGGUACCUGCUCAUCUGCGUGAACGUGCCUUAGGAAUGCUGCAAGGAGGCAUGAGGACUGCAGAUGUGGCCAAGGCAAUAAAUUGCAAUGUCCGUACUGUGAGACGCCUAAGACAGCGCAAUAGGGAGACAGGACGGACAGCUGAUCAUCCUCGCAGUGGCAGACCACGUGUAACAACACCUGCACAGGAUCAGUACAUCCGAACAUCACACCUGCAGGACAGGUACAUGAUGGCAACAACAACUGCCAGAGUUAUACCAGGAAUGCACAAUCCCUCCAUCAGUGCUCAGACUGUCCGCAAUAGGCUGAGAGAGGCUGGACUGAGUGCUUGUAGGCCUGUUGUUAGGCAGGUCCUCACCAGACAUCACCGGCAACAACGUCGCCUAUGGGCACAAACCCACCGUCGCUGGACAACACAGGACUGGCAAAAAGUGCUUUUCACUGAUGAGUCACGGUUUUGUCUCACAACGGGUGAUGGUCAGAAUCCCGUUUAUCGUCGAAGGAAUGAGCGUUACACCGAGGCCUGUAGUCUGGAGCGGGAUCGAGUUGGAGGAUCCGUCAUGGUUUGGGGCGGUGUGUCACAGCAUCAUCGGACUGAGCUUGUUGUCAUUGCCGGUAAUCGCAACGCUGUGCGUUACAGGGAAGACAUCCUCCUCCCUCAUGUGGUACCCUUCCUGCAGGCUCAUCCUGAAAUGACCCUCCAGCAUGACAAUGCCACCAGCCAUACUGCUCGUUCUGUGUGUGAUUUCCUGCAAGACAGGAAUGUCAGUGUUCUGCCAUGGCCAGAGAAGAGCCCGGAUCUCAAUCCCAUUGAGCACGUCUGGGACCUGUUGGAUCGGAGGGUGAGGGCUAGGGCCAUUCCGCCCAGAAAUGUCCGUGAACUUGCAGGUGCCUUGGUGGAAGAGUGGGGUAACAUCUCACAGCAAGAACUGGAAAAUCUGGUGCAGUCAAUGAGGAGGAGAUGCACUGCAGUACUUAAUGCAGCUGGUGGCAACACCAGAUACUGACUUACUUUUGAUUUUUACCCCCCCCCUUUGUUCACAGACACAUUAUUCCGUUUCUGUUGGUCACAUAUUGGUGGAACUUGUUUAGUUUAUGUCUCAGUUGUUGAAUCUUAUGUUCAUACAAAUAUUGACAUUGAUAGACAUAGAUUUGUUUACAUUAAGUUUGCUGAAAAUAAAUGCAGUUGACAGUGAGAGGACAUUCAUUUUUUUGCUUAGUUUAUGUAUAUAAUGGCGUUUGAUCAAAAGUUUUAUAUAACACUUUUUAAAAACCUCUUAAAGGAUCCGCCCCUUUAAAAAAAGAAAUUCACGUAAAAUGUCAUACCCAAAUCUAACUGUCUGGAGCUCAGGCCCUAAGGAAAGGAUAUGCAUAUUCUUUGUACAAUUUGAAAGGAAACACUUUGAAGUUUGUGGAAAUGUGAAAGGAAUGUAGGAGAAUGUAACACUUUAUAUCUGGAUAGAGAUUACUUCAAAGAAAAAACAACUUUUUGUGUGUAUCAUCAUCUGUGAAAUGCAAGUGAAAUGCCAUAAUGUAUUAUUCCUGCCCAGCUGCAAUUUAGAUUUUGGCCACUAGAUGGCAGCAGUGUAUGUGCAAAGUUUUGGACUGAUCCAAUGAACCAUUGCAUUUCUGUCAAAUAUUUUGCGCCAAUUUAGCCCAAAUGUGCCUAAUUUGUUUAUUAAUAACGUUUCAUUUUCAAAGCGGUGCACUCUCCUCAAACAAUAGCAUGGUAUUAUUUCACUGUAAUAGCUACUGUUAAUUGGACAGUGCAGUGGGAAAUGUUCUUGUUCCUUACAACCUCAUGCUAAUCGCAUUAGCCUACGUUAGCUCAACCGUCGCGCAGGGGACCCACCAAGCCUGAAGAAGUUUUAAAGUAUAGUGACUAGAUGAUUACAGCUGCACCAGAAAUCAAUAAAUUGUUGUCUUCAACUUCUGGAUCUAUUAAUUGUGAUAUUCAUUAAAUGUACCUGUAUUUGGAUAAACUAGCUACAAACUUAAUUCUAAAACAAGUGAUGCAGGGAGUUGGUGUAUCAUUUCAACUUUAAUUUGCUGGCAAGUAAACAUGUUUCAAUAAAACAGUAGAUUAGUCUAUCAAUAUAGCAAAUAAGUAGACAUGGCUUCUAUUUAAGAAAAAGUUUAUUUUCUCUGGAGACCGAGGUGAAUUAGCACAGCAGUAUGCAGGAAUAGUUAAGGCAAUGUAUGACAUACUGUAUAUACAGUAGAAUAAAAAUAUACUACUAACGCCUAUAAUAAAUACUAUAGUUCUACAGUGGGAAUACUUGCAAAUGGUGUUUUUGGGUGGUUCAGAGUCACUUUGAUACAUGGGCAGAUUGUUUUCUGGGACCUUUCACAUCUCCUCUUGAGUCAUUAACUUCUUGGUAUCCAAGCGAUAUUGUCUGAGAGAGAAAGACAAAAACGCUAUAAGACAUUCAUGGGCAAUCGCUGUGUACUGUCUGUUCCUACUGUAGUAGCAUGGUGUAGAAAAUGAGACAUCUCACAGACACGUGUUAGCUAGCUAGCUACAACACACAGGUAUAGUUACUCCAAGACUAAUAGGUAUAGCAAACAAAGCUAGCUAGCUAAACUUGGCUAGCUUGGCUUGUAGUCGUACGAGCAAGCCCCGUUAUAGCUGAAUCGAUCACGGAAUUGUACUGUACUAAACAACACUGCCUUGUGUAAAAAGAGCUUAUAUUGCUAGCUAGCUGCCGACACCAAAACAACUUACUGGUUUGUCAUUUGCCCUGCUUGCUGGUCUUGUUGUUCUUUUUCUCACUGUCUCAACUUCUCACUGUGUAUUCCUGUUCAUGUAUGUAUGUUCCUUUGUAAAAUAACAUUAAAGAAAGGAUCUAUCAGAA